rnacentral:rRNA from 1 species
UACGAAGGGGGCUAGCGUUGCUCGGAAUCACUGGACGUAAAGCGCACGUAGGCGGCUUCUUAAGUCAGGGGUGAAAUCCUGGAGCUCAACUCCAGAACUGCCUUUGAUACUGAGAAGCUUGAGUCCGGGAGAGGUGAGUGGAACUGCGAGUGUAGAGGUGAAAUUCGUAGAUAUUCGCAAGAACACCAGUGGCGAAGGCGGCUCACUGGCCCGGAACUGACGCUGAGGUGCGAAAGCGUGGGGAGCAAACAGG